GAUGAACGCUGGCGGCGUGCUUAACACAUGCAAGUCGAACGAAGCAUUUAGAACAGAUUACUUCGGUUUGAAGUUCUUUAUGACUGAGUGGCGGACGGGUGAGUAACGCGUGGGUAACCUGCCUUGUACUGGGGGAUAGCAGCUGUAAACGGCUGGUAAUACCGCAUAAGCGCACAAUGUUGCAUGACAUGGUGUGAAAAACUCCGGUGGUAUAAGAUGGACCCGCGUCUGAUUAGCUAGUUGGUGAGAUAACAGCCCACCAAGGCGACGAUCAGUAGCCGACCUGAGAGGGUGACCGGCCACAUUGGGACUGAGACACGGCCCAGACUCCUACGGGAGGCAGCAGUGGGGAAUAUUGCACAAUGGAGGAAACUCUGAUGCAGCGACGCCGCGUGAGUGAAGAAGUAAUUCGUUAUGUAAAGCUCUAUCAGCAGGGAAGAUAGUGACGGUACCUGACUAAGAAGCUCCGGCUAAAUACGUG
rnacentral:rRNA from 1 species